rnacentral:rRNA from 1 species
UAAUACCGGAUGACGUCGGACCGUCGCAUGGCGGACUGACGAAAGGGUUACCGGAUCAGGAGGGCCUCGCGUCCUAUCAGCUUGUUGGUGGGGUAACGGCCUACCAAGGCAUCGACGGGUAGCUGGUCUGAGAGGAUGAUCAGCCACACUGGGACUGAGACACGGCCCAGACUCCUACGGGAGGCAGCAGUGGGGAAUCUUGCGCAAUGGGCGAAAGCCUGACGCAGCAACGCCGCGUGCGGGAAGAAGGCCUUCGGGGUUGUAAACCGCUUUCAGAAGGAACGAAACUGACGGUACUUUCAGAAGAAGGUGCGGCCAACUACGUGCCAGCAGCCGCGGUGACACGUAGGCACCAAGCGUUGUCCGGAUUUAUUGGGCGUAAAGAGCUCGUAGGCGGUUCAGUAAGUCGGGUGUGAAACCUUUGGGCUUAACCCAAAGCGUGCACUCGAUACUGCUGUGACUGGAGUUCGGUAGGGGAGCGGGGGAAUUCCUAGUGUAGCGGUGAAAUGCGCAGAUAUUAGGAGGAACACCGGUGGCG